rnacentral:tRNA from 1 species
AGUCCUGUAGCUCAGUGGUUAGAGCGCUCGCUUUGCAAGCGAGAGGACCUGGGUUCAAUUCCCGGCAGGGCAA